rnacentral:misc_RNA from 1 species
UUUUAUGUAUGUUCGGAGAUAACUUCUUCGUUUAUGAACCGAUUUUGAUAAUUCUUUUUUUGUUGGAAAGGAGAUAUUCAUAGUUUGGUACCAUGAUAAGGAAACCAGGAUCUGAUGAUGGGAUCCCAGAGAAAUCGAGGGAAACUUUCAAAAAUCGUAAGGGUGACUAGUAAAUUUAAUCAUGUUUUCAUUAGGUACUAUAAAGCACUACUAUUUAAUAAAGGUCUGGAGUCGAUCUGAUGAUGGAGAAGAAAGAUAGUCGAGGGAACUCUUCAACAAUUUAUAGCAAUUACCUGCUUUUUGAACUUAAUUCGUUUCUAUUGAUGAGAACUUUGCACCUGUAU